rnacentral:lncRNA from 1 species
ACUUCUCUUCUGUUCAAAAUUCUGUCUGCAGGUUUCCCACAAGCAUGUGCCACAAGCAGCAUUUGGUGAAGCUGAAGUUGUCCUGUCCGUAAAGAGGGGUCCGUGGGCCACACUGUUGUGGGCACCGUCAGUGGCCCCACUCUGCUGCUGUGCUCCCUGGAUGGCGCUGCUUUUCAGCCUGUGCAGCUUCUGUCACCUGGUGGCAUGCUGGUUGCGAUAGGAGACAACAGCCCGAACACAUUUGCUGAAGUCAUCGGUGCACUUGUGAAAAAUGGCAUAUCGGUGCUGUCAGCUUCGUGCACCACUGGCCACGAAGGAAAAGCUUUCUACCUCUUCAGAACUGGCUCCCCUGUCAAGGCACAGACGCAACCACCAAUCUCGCCAUUGAAGUUCUGGACAUACAUCAACCUCUGAAGAUAUAAAUUCCACCAAAGCAACGCAGUUGUAUUUUGAUAGGCUUGUUUAGUGCACUUUCACGCACCAAUUCUUGAUACGCUAAGGCACAUACAAUAAAAUUUAUACAAACAAUGAGCAAUAAACAGUUUAUGCUAAUGUGUG